AGUGAACGCUGGCGGUAGGCCUAACACAUGCAAGUCGAACGGCAGCACAGUAAGAGCUUGCUCUUACGGGUGGCGAGUGGCGGACGGGUGAGGAAUACAUCGGAAUCUACUUUUUCGUGGGGGAUAACGUAGGGAAACUUACGCUAAUACCGCAUACGACCUACGGGUGAAAGCAGGGGAUCUUCGGACCUUGCGCGAUUGAAUGAGCCGAUGUCGGAUUAGCUAGUUGGCGGGGUAAAGGCCCACCAAGGCGACGAUCCGUAGCUGGUCUGAGAGGAUGAUCAGCCACACUGGAACUGAGACACGGUCCAGACUCCUACGGGAGGCAGCAGUGGGGAAUAUUGGGCAAUGGGCGCAAGCCUGAUCCAGCAAUACCGCGUGGGUGAAGAAGGCCUUCGGGUUGUAAAGCCCUUUUGUUGGGAAAGAAAAGCAGCAGGUGAAUACCCCGCUGUUCUGACGGUACCCAAAGAAUAAGCACCGGCUAACUUCGUG
rnacentral:rRNA from 1 species